UUUUAUUCAAGCUUAUGGUUAAUCAUUGCUGAUUGCCAUGAAAAUUGUACUCUGUACAUCUUGCAUGUAUAAGUCAGGUAUGAAAGGCUGAUCACCUUCAUUACCAGUUGGUUCAGAAAUGUUUGUUCAUGUUUAAAACUUGUUCAGUCAAAAGUUUGUUCCUGCUAGUUCUCAAUUAUAUUGAUGAAUUAUAGCCAGCUUAUUAUUCAUACUCUUCAAUCAUGAUAUAUCCUUAUAUUGUUGUAUUUAAACUUGCUGGGCAACUUUCAUGCUCACCCUUGCUAUAUCAUGAUAAAACAUUGCAGAUAAGGCAAAUGCGUUCGGAUACAGGAAAAGAUUAAGCCAAGUUCAACUUGGGAUAAAUUGUGCGGCUAUUUUGUAAUAGUAUAGUUUGAUAAAUGUGAUAAAUGUUAGAUCAUUUAUGAUUGUGUAAUAAGUAAAGGUUACUCGACCUUGGGGAAUAGUGUGUAAUGUAAUGUAUAAACAAUUUAUGUUUAUAUCUUCCGCAAACAGUUAUAGAAUGUUUAGUGUACCGAAUCCGCGGCGAUUUGGGCCCGGAUUCGGGGAUGCUAUAUUUAUGAACCCCUCAGUGAACGGACGCCAAACGUCAGACUAGGAUAAGUUCUUAAACUCAUAUGAUUGUGGCAAUUUAUGGACUCAUAAGUGUGGUUUUAUGAACUGGCUAUAGUUGUAUGUGAAUGGAGUGUUAAGGAUUAUAGGAACAGAUAUAUUGUUAAGCAAAUGAUCAUUAGUGGAGACUUAGGUUUUCCUAAACUCCUAGGUAUGCUAAACUUUGAAAUUUUGACAUCAAGCUAAAUACGCACUAUGUGCCUUUGAAAAAAAAAUUGUAGACUCGUAACGAUUUUUGAAACGGUUUAAAAUACAGUCUAUGCUACUUAUUUCAGCUAGACUCAAAUGAUUUGAAAUAUCAAAAUGUAUUUUAAUUAUCGCUCAUGUACCAUGUUACCUGGUGCAGAGAUGAUAAAAAUGUGAUGAAGUUGUAAAUACAGGAAUACUUAGAGUGAAUUUGACCUAAAGUCGUUGUUCCUCUAUUGUAUGAUGUGUUAUGACAAAGUCAUACAAUGACGGCAUCCUCAAACGGACUGUUAAUACAGUACGACAUCAUGGCGUCAUUCUCGAAAAUGUUUUUAAAAAUUUUAAUUUGCCAACGGGGUUUGGCUACACCUAAAUAAUUCGAUUGAAUUGAAUUAUCAAUAUGAGUCUAUGCUAUUUGAUUCAGCUAGACUAAUGUUAUGAAAACUCUAAGUGUUCAUUGAAAAAAAAAAUUCCCGAACCAAAUUGCUUUGGUGCGGAAUCCUAUGAUAAGACUGAGGUGAACAAUGAUGUUUGGAUAAAUAAUCCAAUAUAGUAGCGUAAAUAUUCGCUAAAAAUGAUUAAUACGUUAUGCAUGACGUACGAGUACGAAAGGCUGAUCACCUAAAGUACUAACAACGGUAGUUUACCUUCUUUGUGAUUGUAAACAGACCAAGUAAUGUAUUGUUUUGCGGUAUGAUCAAUACCGUUAAAUCUAUGUGUUCAUGGUCUAUAUGACCCCUCAGCACAAUUUGAAACAUUUUACUCUUGUGAGUGGUGUAUUGGGUAGUGUGUGAUAUGUGUGAAUGGUGUAAGGUGCACGGUGUAAGGUGUAAGGUGAAUUUCGGGGACAAAAUUCUUAUAAGGAGGGGUGAAUGUGACAACCCGAGAAUUUGGACAAUUUAUUAAAAUCUUAAAUUAUUGAUUUAAGAUCAAAUAAUAGACCUAGACAGAAAAUAAGUGUAUGCAUUUGAUGUUACUGGGAUUGAAUUUUGAGUGUUUCAAAAUUCGGUGAAGGAUUUAGGUGAAUUAUUCAGGAUUAAGGAUUUAUGUGAAUAUGUGUUGUGUUUAUGGUUAUGUAAGUGUACAGAAUGUGGUUAAGGGUCAUGGGUUGACCAGAUAAAUUAUAUACGUGUCAAACCCUAAUCGUAUAUUAAGAACGCCAACGUUCAGUUAGAAAACUUUAACGUCUGAUAAGAAACCCUAAAAAUUGGUUCUAGAAACCCUAGUUUCAGUUUCGGGAGUCCGAAACCCUAAUUCGGAUAUUAAAAACCAUAAAUUGGGAAUGCAAUGCUAUGUACAAGGUUUAACGUUAUUAAUUAUAAAUUAAUUAGGAAAAACCCUAAUGAAUUACCUGAAACCUUAAUUGUUUAUUAGAAAACCCUAAUACCCGAUGUGGAAACCCUAAUUUUAGAUUUCUGAUAAUUUGAAACCCUAAUCUGGGAAUAGAAAGUAUAAUUAUAAUGCUUAUGUGGUAUUAAUUAUACUACUAACUAGGGCAAAGCUUAAUUAAUUAGCAAACUCUAAUUCUUGAUUUUGAACCCUAAUUAUUCCGUCAGAAACCCUAAUUGUACAGGGGUGGAUUUAAUUGCUAAAAUAGAAAUAUUAAUUGGGAAAAUAUUAAUCCUAAUUGGUUUAAGACCUAAUGUAAUUAGAAAAUUAUACUAAUGAGGAAGCCCUAAUUAUAAUUUAGAAAUCAUGAUUUUCUAUUUUAAAAUUAAUUAGAAAAUCUUAGAAUUAUAAUUGCUAAAUUCUUUAGGGUUAAAACCUAAACCCUAAAGGGUUAAACCCUUAACUCUAAAUGCUCCAAACCCUAAACCCUAGCAAACCCUAAACCCUAAGGGUUUGGCCAAUUACAAGAAUGCCAUUAAAAUAAAAAUUAAAAAGACCAAAAUUCCCUUUGUGUAUUAUUUAUUAUGUUACUUGUAGAUCUAAACCUAUGGUGAGUUGCUCACCAAACCCUAGAUUAGCAUGUGACUAAAAAUCCAUACAAAUCAGCUAACAACAACUCCCAUCAGCCACAUUCAUUGAAUUCCAUAAAUAUUUAAGACUAAAAGAGAGAGAAAAGUUCAUUCUAUAUUUCAUUUUUUUGCCAACCUCUUCUCUCUCUAGAAUUUCGUGUAUGAGUGUGAGAGUGGGUGAGAAACAAAGAAAUUAUCAGCUUUUAACAUGUACAAGAUCAGAUCAAAGGACCAGAAAUCAAAAUCAAGUUCAAAAGGUAUAAACACCCUAAUUCUAGAAAUCCUUUGAUUUGAUGUUAUAUGUUAUAAUUGAUUGGUUAAAGUUGUGUAUUAGGGUGUCAUUUGAUGAUCUGGGUUGUAAAAACCUAGAUCCAUAACAUCAAAGUUCACGAAAUUGCAUUUUUAUGAAAUCUGGAAAAGUGGAAAAAAGUGAACUGACAGUCGAAUGUCAGAGGCUUUAGAUCCGUGUGUGUUUGAUGAUUUGGGUAUGUGAUGUUAUAAAUUUGUUCUAUGCAAUGUGGUCUUUCAUUUCCAACUUGAAUCAACCUUAUAGCAUGUCUAGAUCGUAAGUUACAAGCGGUCAAAGAUCGUUGACCGAUCACAUUUUCUGGAUUUCUGGGCAAACCCAAAACCCAGAUCGCCUGACAACGUUGUCUGUGCUCUUGAUCUUGUUGUGGUGUAAGUUUUGGGCGAAGUGGUGGUUUUGAUGUUGUUUGCUGUUAUAUGGACUACAUAAAUAAGCUUUUAGAUCACUUAAAUCAUAACCAGGAUGAAAGUUAUAAUAGGUCAAACAUGCGUUGACCACCAACUUUGAAGAAAUUCUAGGAAAACCCAGAUUGUUCAAGAACAGAUUUUCAGGUCUACUUUGACCGGCCCAUAUUUUUCGUAGGUUAAGUUUUUAGGUUGGACUGAUGUUAUAUGUAUGUACCAUGUCAUGUUUACUACAACAUGGAACCUUUAUAUAAACCAAAUCGAACACAGAACGCAAAAUUAGAAUGGUUCAAAAUCGUAUCUUCAAUUCUGGAAAUUCCAGAAAACGAAGAACAACGUUGUUAGACUUUUCGAUGUCUAAUAACUCUUAGAUCUGAUGUUUUUUAGCCAUGAUGUUUGUUAGUAAUUGUAGUGUUGCAUGAGUACUACAGGACCUAUAUGUUAGAUUGCCCAGAAACUUCAUGGAUUGAAAAUUAUAACCGGUAAAACCUACCACCUUCAUCACUACCUUGUCAGUGUUCUUGAGGCUCAAGAACACCUAAGGCGACGGUUGUAUGUCGCUAAGGAAGCCCUAAUUAUAAUUUAGAAAUCAUGAUUUUCUAUUUUAAAAUCUAAUUAGAAAAUCUUAGAAUUUUAAUUGCUAAAUUCUUCAGGGUUAAAACCUAAACCCUAAAGGGUUAAACCCUAAACUCUAAAUGCUCCAAACCCUAAACCCUAACAAACCCCAAACCCUAAGGGUUUGGCCAAUUACAAGAAUGCCAUUAAAAUAAAGAUCAAAAAGACCAAAAUGCCCUUUGUGCAUUAUUUAUUAUGUUACUUGUAUAUCUAAACCUAUGGUGAGUUGCUCACCAAACCCUAGACUAGCAUUUGACUAAAAAUCCAUACAAAUCAGCUAACAACAACUCCCAUCAGCCACAUUCAUUGAAUUCCAUAAAUAUAUAAGACUAAAAGAGAGAGAAAAGUUCAUUCUAUAUUUCAUUUUUUUGCCAACCUCUUCUCUCUCUAGAAUUUCGUGUAUGAGAGUGAGAGUGCGUGAGAAACAAAGAAAUUAUCAGCUUUUAACAUGUACAAGAUCAGAUCAAAGGACCAGAAAUCAAAAUCAAGUUCAAAAGGUAUAAACACCCUAAUUCUAGAAAUCGUUUGAUUUGAUGUUAUAUGUUAUAAUUGAUUGGUUAAAGUUGUGUAUUUGGGUGUCAUUUGAUAAUCUGGGUUGUAAAAACCUAAAUCCAUAACAUCAAAGUUCACGAAAUUGUAUUUUUAUGAAAUCUGGAAAAGUGGAAAAAAGUGACAUGACAGUCGAAUGUCAGAGGCUUUAGAUCCGUGUGCGUUUGAUGAUUUGUGUAUGUGAUGUUAUAAAUCUGUUAUAUGCCAUGUGGUCUUUCAUUUCCAACUUGAAUCAAUCUUAUAGCAUGUCUAGAUCGUAAGUUACAAGCGGUCAAAGGUCGUUGACCGAUCACAUUUCUGGAUUUCUGGGAAAACCCAGAAACCCAGAUCGCCUGACAACGUUGUCUGUGCUCUUGAUCUUGUUGUGGUUUAAGUUUUGGGAAAAGUGGUGGUUUUGAUGUUGUUUGCUGUUAUAUGGACUACAUAAAUAAGCUUUUAGAUCACUUAGAUCAUAACCAGGAUGAAAGUUAUAAUAGGUCAAACAUGCGUUGACCACCAACUUUGAAGAAAUUCUAGGAAAACCCAGAUUGUUCAAGAACAGAUUUUCAGGUCUACUUUGACCGGCCCAUAUUUUUCGUAGGUUAUGUUUUUAGGUUGGACUGAUGUUAUAUGUAUGUACCAUGUCAUGUUUACUACAGCAUGGAACCUUUAUAUCAACCAAAUCGAACAUAUAACGCAAAAUUAGAAUGGUUCAAAAUAGGUAUCUUCAAUUCUGGAAAUUCCUGAAAACGAAGAACAACGUUGUCAGACUUUUUGAUGGCUAAUAACUCUUAGAUCUGAUGUUUUUUAGCCAUGAUGUUUGUUAGUAAUUGUAGUGUUGCAUGAGUAGUACAGGACCUAUGUGUUAGAUUGCCCAGAAACUUCAUGGAUUGAAAAUUAUAACCGGUAAACCCUACCACCUUCAUCACUGCCUUGUCAGUGUUCUUGAGGCUCAAGAACACCUAAGGCGACGGUUGUAUGUCGCUAAAGGCUUUAGCGACGGUUUUAAUUAUUUUUAUUUUCUGGAAAUUCUGAAAAUGAAUUAAUAAUUAGGAAAAUUAGAUUUUUAAUUAUUAAAAAUACAUAUUAAAUUCUGAAAAAAUUAUUUUAAAGUCUGAAAAAUAGUUUUUAACUAUUUUGAGUAUAUUUCAAAAAUAUUUAAUAUUUUUGGAAUAUAAAAGUUAUUUAUUUAAUUAAUUAUUAUAUUAAAUAAAUUAUUUAAAAAUGGUUUUAAUUCAUGAAAAAUCAUGAAAAAUUAUUUUAUGAUAUUAGAAAAUAUUUUAAGUUAUUUUUGAUGACUUUUGAUAUUUUGUGAUGAAAUACAUUAAUAUUUUAAUAUUAAUGAUAAUUAUUUUAUUUAAUAAUUAUAUUAAAUAAAUUAUAGAAAAAUAUAAUUAAUGAUUUAAAAAUCAUAUAAAAAUGAUUUAAGUGUUAUAAAAAUAUUUUAAGUUAUAAAAUAUAACUUUUGAUAUUUUGACAGACUUUUUGAUGGCUAAUAACUCUUAGAUCUGAUGUUUUUUAGCCAUGAUGUUUGUUAAUAAUUGUAGUGUUGCAUGAGUACUACAGGACCAUUGUGUUAGAUUGCCUAGAAACUUCAUAGAUUGAAAAUUAUAAUCGGUCAAACCUACCACCUUCAUCACUGCCUUGUCAGUGUUCUUGAGGCUCAAGAACACCUAAGGCGACGGUUGUAUGUCGCUAAGGAAGCCCUAAUUUUAAUAUAGAAAUCAUGAUUUUCUAUUUUAAAAUCUAAUUAGAAAAUCAUAGAAUUUUAAUUGCUAAAUUCUUUAGGGUUAAACCCUAAACUCUAAAUUCUCCAAACCCUAAACCCUAAUAAAGCCUAAACCCUAAGGGUUUGACCAAUUAUAAGAAUGCCAUUAAAAUAAAAAUCAAAAAGACCAAAAUGCCCUUUGUGCAUUAUUUAUUAUGUUACUUGUAGAUCUAAACCUAUGGUGAGUUGCUCACCAAACCCUAGACUAGCAUGUGACUAAAAAUCCAUACAAAUCAGCUAACAACAACUCCCAUCAGCCACAUUCAUUGAAUUCCAUAAAUAUAUAAGACUAAAAGAGAGAAAAGUUCAUUCUAUAUUUCAUUUUUUGCCAACCUCCUCUCUCUCUAGAAUUUUGUGUAUGAGAGUGAGAGUGGGUGAGAAACAAAGAAAUUAUAAACUUUUAACAUGUACAAGAUCAGAUCAAAGGACCAGAAAUCAAAAUCAAGUUCAAAAGGUAUAAAACACCCUAAUUCUAGAAAUCCUUUGAUUUGAUGUUAUAUGUUAUAAUUGAUUGGUUAAAGUUGUGUAUUAGGGUGUCAUUUGAUGACCUGGGUUGUAAAAACCUAGAUCCAUAACAUCAAAGUUCACGAAAUUGCAUUUUUAUGAAAUCUGGAAAAGUGGAAAAAAGUGAACUGACAGUCGAAUUUUAGAGGCUUUAGAUCCGUGUGUGUUUGAUGAUUUGUGUAUGUGAUGUUAUAAAUUUGUUCUAUGCCAUGUGGUCUUUCAUUUCCAACUUGAAUCAACUUUAUAGCAUGUCUAGAUCGUAAGUUACAAGCGGUCAAAGGUCGUUAACCGAUCACGUUUUCUGGAUUUCUGGGCAAACCCAGAAACCCAGAUCGCCUGACAACGUUGUCUGUGAUCUUGAUCUUGUUGUGGUUUAAGUUUUGGGCGAAGUGGUGGUUUUGAUGUUGUUUGCUGUUGUAUGGACUACAUAAAUAAACUUUUAGAUCACUUAGAUCAUAACCAGGAUGAAAGUUAUAAUAGGUCAAACAUGCGUUGACCACCAGCUUUGAAGAAAUUCUGGGAAAACCCAGAUUGUUCAAGAACAGAUUUUCAGGGCUACUUUGACCGGCCCAUAUUUUUCGUAGGUUAAGUUUUUAGGUUGGACUGAUGUUAUAUGUAUGUACCAUGUCAUGUUUACUACAACAUGGAACCUUUAUAUCAACCAAAUCGAACACAGAACGCAAAAUUAGAAUGGUUCAAAAUAGGUAUCUUCAAUUCUGGAAAUUCCAAAAAACGAAGAACAACGUUGUCAGAAUUUUUGAUGGCUAAUAACUCUUAAAUUUGAUGUUUUUUAGCCAUGGUGUUUGUUAGUAAUUGUAGUGUUGCAUGAGUACUACAGGACCUAUGUGUUAGAUUGCCCAGAAACUUCAUAGAUUGAAAAUUAUAAUCGGUCAAACCUACCACCUUCAUCACUGCCUUGUUAGUGUUCUUGAGGCUCAAGAACACCUAAGGCAAUGGUUGUAUGUCGCUAAGGAAGCCCUAAUUUUAAUUUAGAAAUCAUGAUUUUCUAUUUUAAAAUCUAAUUAGAAAAUCUUAGAAUUUUAAUUGCUAAAUUCUUUAGGGUUGAACCCUAAACUCUAAAUGCUCUAAACCCUAAACCCUAAUAAACCCUAAACCCUAAGGGUUUGGCUAAUUACAAGAAUGCCAUUAAAAUAAAAAUCAAAAAGACCAAAAUGCCCUUUGUGCAUUAUUUAUUAUGUUACUUGUAGAUCUAAACCUAUGGUGAGUUGCUCACCAAACCCUAGACUACCAUGUGACUAAAAAUCCAUACAAAUCAGCUAACAACAACUCCCAUCAGCCACAUUCAUUGAAUUCCAUAAAUAUAUAAGACUAAAAGAGAGAAAAGUUCAUUCUAUAUUUCAUUUUUUGCCAACCUCUUCUCUCUCUAGAAUUUUGUGUAUGAGAUUGAGAGUGGGUGAGAAACAAAGAAAUUAUAAACUUUUAACAUGUACAUGAUCAGAUCAAAGGACCAGAAAUCAAAAUCAAGUUCAAAAGGUAUAAAACACCCUAAUUCUAGAAAUCCUUUGAUUUGAUGUUAUAUGUUAUAAUUGAUUGGUUAUAGUUGUGUAUUAGGGUGUCAUUUGAUGACCUGGGUUGUAAAAACCUAGAUCCAUAACAUCAAAGUUCACAAAAUUGCAUUUUUAUGAAAUCUGGAAAAGUGGAAAAAAGUGAACUGACAGUCGAAUUUUAGAGGCUUUAGAUCCGUGUGUGUUUGAUGAUUUGUGUAUGUGAUGUUAUAAAUCUGUUCUAUGCCAUGUGGUCUUUCAUUUCCAACUUGAAUCAACCUUAUAGCAUGUCUAGAUCGUAAGUUACAAGCGGUCAAAGGUCGUUGACCGAUCACGUUUUCUGGAUUUCUGGGCAAACCCAGAAACCCAGAUCGCCUGACAACGUUGUCUGUGCUCUUGAUCUUGUUGUGGUUUAAGUUUUGGGCGAAGUGGUGGUUUUGAUGUUGUUUGCUGUUAUAUGGACUACAUAAAUAAGCUUUUAGAUCACUUAGAUCAUAACCAGGAUGAAAGUUAUAAUAGGUCAAACAUGCGUUGACCACCAGCUUUGAAGAAAUUCUGGGAAAACCCAGAUUGUUCAAGAACAGAUUUUCAGGGCUACUUUGACCGGCCCAUAUUUUUCGUAGGUUAAGUUUUUAGGUUGGACUGAUGUUAUAUGUAUGUACCAUGUCAUGUUUACUACAACAUGGAACCUUUAUAUCAACCAAAUCGAACACAGAACGCAAAAUUAGAAUGGUUCAAAAUAGGUAUCUUCAAUUCUGGAAAUUCCAGAAAACGAAGAACAACGUUGUCAGACUUUUUGAUGGCUAAUAACUCUUAGAUCUGAUGUUUUUUAGCCAUGAUGUUUGUUAGUAAUUGUAGUGUUGCAUGAGUACUACAGGACCUAUGUGUUAGAUUGCCCAGAAACUUCAUGGAUUGAAAAUUAUAACCGGUCAAACCUACCACCUUCAUCACUGCCUUGUUAGUGUUCUUGAGGCUCAAGAACACCUAAGGCGACGGUUGUAUGUCGCUAACGGCUUUAGCGACGGUUUUAAUUAUUUUUAUUUUCUGGAAAUUUCGAAAAUGAAUUAAUAAUUUGGAAAAUUAGAUUUUUAAUUAUUAAAAAUACAUAUUAAAUUCUAAAAAAUUAUUUUAAAGUCUGAAAAAUAGUUUUUAACUAUUUUGAGUAUAUUUCGAAAAUAUUUAAUAUUUUUGGAAUAUAAAAGGUAUUUAUUUAUUUAAUUAUUAUAUUAAAUAAAUUAUUUAAAAAUGGGUUUAAUUCAUGAAAAAUUAUUUUAUGAUAUUAGAAAAUAUUUUAAGUUAUUUUUGAUGACUUUUUAUAUUUUGUGAUGAAAUUCAUUAAUAUUUUAACAUUAAUGAUAAUUAGUUUAUUUAAUAAUUAUAUUAAAUAAAUUAUAGAAAAAUAGAAUUAAUGAUUUAAAAAUCAUAUAAUUAUGAUUUUAAGGUAUUAAAAAUACUUUGAUAUAUUAUAAUUAUAUUAUAAUAUUAUGUUAUGAUUUUCAUUAAUAUUUUAUAUUAAAUGAAUAUUAAUGAUUAAUGAAUUAUGUGGUAUUUAAUUCAUAUAAAUACGAUAUUAAUGAUUGGAAAAUCAUGAUAAAUGUUAAUAAUUAUCCGAAAAUUAUUACGAGCCUAGGAAAAAUGUUUUGACUGAUAAGAAAUUAUCUGUGAUAAUUGUUAAGGGUUUUGGCAGAGUUUAAUUGAACUUAAACUCGAUAUUCGUCCGACUAGACCGUCGGGAUGAUAAAAUUAUGUCGGUUUCAACUCAGACUUAAAUAGUUUGACUUGAUGCUAUGUCUUAUGUGCUGUAUAGACUGAUAGGCUUAUGUGUUAUGUGUUUAGGUUAUUCUGUGUAUAUAAAUAUAACAGUAUUAUAUUGUGAUGAUAUUAUUCUAAUAUUGGAGAUCUAUAUUAUUAAUAUUAGGUAUUCGGAUAAAGCGUUAUAAAUUGCGUUGCGGUAAUCAACGGUUCAGGCAAGUUUGUUUUUACUUAACUCUACUAAGAGUGUUUUAUUCAAGCUUAUGGUUAAUCAUUGCUGAUUUCCAUGAAAAUUGUACUCUGUCCAUCUUGCAUGUAUAAGUCAGGUAUGAAAGGCUGAUCACCUUCAUUACCAGUUGGUUCAGAAAUGUUUGUUCAUGUUUAAAACUUAUUCAGUCAAAAGUUUGUUCAUGCUAGUUCUCAAUUAUAUUGAUGAAUUAUAGCCAGCU
rnacentral:lncRNA from 1 species